ACUCUAGAAAUAAUGGAGACCCUGAAACGUAGCAACUGUUACUGGCUCCCACAUGAAGCUAUGCCCUGCCUUGGCACCCAUGGCAGACGCUCCUGGCAGGGUGCUGGCAAGGACGAGACUGCUCCCUUCUGUGCUUUCUGGCUCCAGGAAGGAACCUGCAGGACCUGAGUCCAUGUGCAGGAAGAGUGAACCAAGGUGGUCAUGAUGGACCCUGCAUAAGGCAGGGGGAAGGAUGGAAAGUAGAGAAGAAGACGAAUAAGAGGAUGAAGACACAGAGGAAAAAGAAGAGGAGAAAGCAUGAGAGAGGAGGAGAUGAAAAAUCCCUGGCAAUAAAGGCAGUGAACGCUACCCACAUUACUUCUUCCAAGGGCAACAAAACAUGGGCAAGAAGAUUAAACAAGAUCUAGAGAAACGUACACGCCAUCUAUGUAUUCAUUGGAAGGCUCAGAAUUUACAAGAUAAACAUUCUCCCCAAAUUACUCCAACAGCCUUUAAAAAAAAAAAAAAGACACCGGAAGGCUGGUGCUGACAUGACUCUGUUAAGGCAGAGUGGCUCUAACAAGAAGAGCCUGCCUUCACCCACGAUAUCACGUACUCAGCUCCUGAAUACCAAUCUUCCUCACUGCUCAGUCUGGCAUGUCCACAGCACCGCCCUCCUGUGCAACAGGACAGGGUACAGCCAGCAUGGAGCUGGAAGGCAGCCAGAGUACAGAAGGUGUCAUGAUCUCAGUGCACACAGUAGUCCUGACAUCAGAGACUAGAGCCUCAUGCUCUCAUGCCUUCAGGCUCCUAAAAGCAAUGACCAGUUGUGUCCCAAGAAAUGGCCAAAUCUAUAAAACUGCUCCUGAUGGUGCCUUAGGUGGACUCUCUGCCUCGUAUUGUCAUACUGUAGGACUCACCUAUAACUCUCCUAUGGACCUAUGGACCUAUGGACCUAUGGACCUAUGGACCUAUGGACCUACGAACCUAUGGACCUAAGGAUUUAUGAUGGGUGACAAAUAGACAUUCCCUCCAUGGGUCUUUCAACAAGACUAUUGUACCCAGUUCUUUGGGUUAUGUCAUGAUUAGUCAGCUAAGAUUGGACUUCUCUGCCCCCAAAUCAGCUAGACACAGAAAUUAACUAACCUUGAGAUCCCUUGUUCUAAAACAGCAGUCCUCAACCAAUAAAUCAAGACCCCUUUGGGGUCAAACCCCUUCAUAGGGGUUACCUAAGACCAUCAGCAAACCCAGAUAUUUCCUUCACAAUAUAUGACAGUAGCAAAAUUACAGUUAUGAAGUAGCAACAAAAAACAUUUUUUGGUCAGGGGUCAGCAAAACAUGAGGAACUGUAUUAAAGGGUUGUAGCAUUGGGUAGGUUGAGAACUACUACUCUAAAACAAGCCCAGGGUGAUCCAAACAAAACUACCUCCAGAUACCUGGUCCUGAGCUAAGGCUGGUACCAAUAUUCUCUCUUACUGUUCUUCCUCUGCUCUGACAACUUCCGGCUAGACUCAGCUGCUUGUAAAUUUGAAAUGUUCCCAGGAUGAUGGUAUAAGAAAAAAGGCCGUGGGUAUCUAUCCUAACAGGAGCUGUGUUGAGGGAAACACAUCUUCCCUUUGUCCUUCAGCUGUAGAAACAAAUGCACUAUCCAGGGCCAGCUCAGAGGACGUGGCUGCCGUAUACAGUGUUGUAUUCCAUACAGAAGCCAGUGUAGGCUCAGAUCACUGAUGAAUCUCACAGACCCAAACAUGCACUGGGUGGAAAGCACACAUUGGUUGGUUUGUUGGUAGCUUUCAAGAACAAUAUGCCUCCUUAGGUGUUGAGGCUAACCGCCUCCAGACUAUUUGUCCCCAUCAAGAUAAGGAGCAGGCAAAGACCAUCACAUAAUUUUACAACUCCCGUCUUGUCUCUGCCCACUGCCUCCACUUCCUGCUUGGAAGUGGUAGGCAAGAUGAACUUCCACUCCAAGACCUCCACUGUAGAGCACUGACAUGAUUAACUGUCGUUAACGUCCUAAAUUUCUUUACCAUCUGCCCUCCCAUGAGACUUACAUCCCUGAAGAUAGAAAAACCUGAGUCAGGGAAAAUUGCAAAGGACAGACACUGCUUAAAGAAGCACAACAGCCUUCAGGGGUGUUCUUCCUUGAGGUCCUGAGAGCUCUCGGCCACUGCCUGUUCACACAGAGUAAAGGAAAGGCAUAGAAGCCACAUGGUGAUUGCAGAGAGUGAGAUCAACCCCAAAACUACUACAACGGAAGAACCUUGCCAGAAGAAAAUGAAUGUUCUAGAAUUAGAGCUUGUCAGCAUGACUCCCUGCCGUUUAUCCUUUACUUCAGUACUGGCACAGCACUGAGCCGAGUGCCCGCAUAUAAGAACAUUACUGUGUGCAUAGCAACAGGGCUAACCAAGCUGUAACGUUUGCCAAGUCUCCUCCGUCUCUGCUGCUGCUGUGUGACUCGUGGUCAUGCCUGUGUGCUGAUAGCCACCAGUCUCUCAUGGACCUCUUACAUCUCGGGAAACUUCUAGCCCUUGAAUGGGGAUUUCACCCAUGCCAGUGAAGAACCAGGCUCUUAAAGUAUUUGUCUUAAAAUAACCAGUUUGUACUAUUUUACAAAUUUGACCGCUUCAUUAUCUGGGUCUUCAGCUCUUUGCUUCACUUGACAUUCCUACCCUCAUAUAUAUGACAAUAUCUUCUCUUCCCAGCCUUGCUAGCAUUAAUAAAACAUGGGCUAGCAUUUUUAAAGCAGCAUUCGUUUUGAGGAAGCAAAGGGAAAAAUAAAUGUGCGACUUGGCUUUUUAUUC
rnacentral:lncRNA from 1 species